CGAUCUUACAUUGAUAAGCACCAACAAACAUGACCCUAUUAAUGGGGAUGAUUUUGAUCAUCCAUUCUGCUGUAUAUAAUCCUCAUUAAAAGGACUGAAACUAAGCCUGACACAGUGUUACUCAUUGCUAAUCGUCUGUAGGUCCAGUAGCACUGUAUGCUGAGUGUAUUACUGUAGAGAAAAUUGUCUGCUCAGAAGAGUUCAGAGUCAAUGGAAAAGGAAAAAGAAUUUACAGCUUGCAGGUUCUCAAAAGCUGGUCGUGGUAAGACAAAAAGGUUUUCUCAAAGCAAUACUUGCCCAUCCACCUCUUUCAGAGGAACACAGCAUCCAACAAGGUUAGGAAUCAGGAAGUGUUAGUGUUGUUCCUUUUUGUUUGUUUGGACAGUUUAGCACUAACAGUGAUGAACUUCUUUAUAAAACAGGCUACUCUUUUGUUGCACUAGUGGCCAGAGUUGGACAAAACUGGAAAAGGCUGCAGAGUUUGAAGAGGUAUUCAGCAAACUACUGGAAAGAAACAAAAUACCAUGAAAAGAGUUUAUGUAUAUUUUAAAGAAAGCUCUUGGUAUAGAUUCAACAUUUAUUUCAAAACUUGAAUGCACAGUAUGAAGCAUAUUCCAGGUUCUCAACACUGACUGUGGGAUCUCUUCUAAGAGAACAAUGAGAUCACCUUGUGUUCUACCAGAAGUCCUUCACUACAAAGGUUACUGUCACUUUCACGUAACUAAAAGUGCUGCCAGCCUUUAAUUGUUUUCAGAAGAGAAUAACUAUUUGAAUUUUGGAUGCAAACCCUGAAUUCAAACUAUUCCAGGUUAUAAGCCAUGCCUCUUUAUUCUUCUGCUGUGUUUCCUUGAUGGUCUGUAAAACUAAUCCAAAGCAGAUGCAUGCUCAUGUCUUAGCUUUUGACAUUCCAUUUCUAAAUCCAGAAACAAUUUACUAUGUUCUGUAUGUAUAUAUUGUGAAUGAAUAUUGUAUUAUAAUGUAGACAGUGAGGCAUAUUGAUGGAAGAGGUCAUAUCCAGUUCUUGACUAGGCAGCAGUCACAUUCUUCAAGAGACCAAUGAAACAGACACGUGUACAUUUAGGAGAAUUAAAUAAUACAAAUUCUUAUAUGAGAAAGAUGGUGAAUUCAGAGCCAACCUCCUACGAUAAUUCUACAUUAGCUUCACCUUUUAUAUUUAACUAUUAUAUUUUCAGCAAUCCUCUAUUAGAAAUGUCAGUAGCAUUCAGGACUCUGAUAAAAAGAUAAAAGAUAAGAGUGACAGGUACAGUUCUUGGUAAUAUAAGAUACAACCAGGGAGCAAGUUGAUUUUUCAAAGCUACCUUAGGUUCUGGACAUUUUAAGGAGAUUUUAGUUAUUAUUUAAGGGACCUUUGACAAACGUUGACCAAAAAUCCAGGAGUUUAGCACUCAACUCAUCCUGAAAAUUAU